CCCCCCCCCCCCCCCCCCCCCCCCAAGUUGGAGGGGGAGGUACGAACCCCCAACUUGCCCAAAAGAUUCCAAUGAGUAGGACCUGUGAGAGGUUUGGUGAAUAGAUCGGCAAGCUGAGCAUCAGAUCGGAUAAAGGAAAGAGAGAUAAGACCAGCAAGAAAUUGUUGUCGCACAAAGUGACAAUCGAUUUCCACAUGCUUGGUUUGCUCAUGGAACACGGGGUUUUUGGCGAUAUGAAGUGCGGCUUGACUAUCGGAAUGAAGAGGAACAGGUAGGGAUGGACAAAUUUUCAAAGAGGCGAACCAACCAAGUAAGUUCAGCCACAACGCGAUGCAUGGAACGGUAUUCUGCCUCUGCUGAACUAAGAGAUAUAGAGGUUUGCUUCUUUGAUUUCCAAGAAAUUGGAGAAGAACCCAAGGAGAUAUAAAAACCACUGACUGAGCGACGGGAUUUAGGGCAGGUCCCCCAAUCGGAGUCACAAAAGGCAAGAAGCUGAAAUGAAGGUGAGGCAGACAUAAAAAGACCAAGACUAGGAUCUUUUAAAAGAUAACGGAGGACUCUAUGAGCAGCAUCAAGAUGUGGUUGGCGAGGGUCUUGCAUGUACUGACUAAGAUGUUGGACGGUGAAGGAGAGGUCGGGUCUGGUGUGGGUAAGGUAGUUAAGCUUACCCAGAAGAUGGCGAUAUAUGGUUGGGUCUUUUACAGGCUCCCCUGUUUUGGCAAACAAUUUGAUGGAAGAGUCAAGAGGUGAGGAGGCAGGAGAUAAAUGCAAGGAUUCAAAUCGUGCAACAAAUCGAGGGUGAAUUUCCGCUGUGAAAGAAUCAAUCCUUGAGGUUCUCGAAUGACCUCCAUGCCAAGAAAAAAAUGUCACUCCACAAGUCUUUUGCACUCUGAGAAUAGAGUACGCUUUCAGCUAUUUCUUUUGACAAGGAUUUCAACAGCCAAGAUAGGACCAUAUCAUUGCUACGAGCCCAAGCUUUUUGCAGUCCGGAAUCUGCCUCAGGGACAACUAGGGAUCCAUCAAUGAACCCUAGUUUGUUCUUAGUAGAGAGAACAAUCACAACAGCUCUCCUCCAACCUCCAUAGCCUUUGCCAUCAAAGACUGAAGAAACCAAGUUCAUCCUGGAUAAUCUAAGGGAUGAAGGUAAUAGGGGUGAGCUGAGUCAACAAUUCCUGCUGUGAGAGAAGCUGCAGGUGCAGUAACUCGCGUAGUGGAAGAAGAAUUAUCAGGGGUUUCAAUAGAACCCAUUGCUGAGUGAAUGAAGAAAGGAAAAUGAUGAAGAUUAUGUGAUAGAUUUUACCAUGUAGAAUUGAAGAAGAAAGCAACGUAUGAAAAUUUUCUUUCUGUGUAUUGAAUGAUCAGUGUUUGAUGUAUAUAUACAAAAAUAGGAAUCUAAGGUAAAACAGAAAAGCCAAGUGGCAUUAUACUAUUGACUAUGCUAUAACUAAUUAUAUUCUUUAUAGUAGAAUAGUACAUUACA